GGUUUACGACCUCGAUGUUGGAUCAGGAUUAGACCCACCUAGAGGAGCCUGUCCUAGAACCGAUAAUCCCCGUUAAACCUCACCCNNUUCUANGCCCUUAUCAGCCUAUAUACCGCCGUCGCCAGCUUACCCUUGAAGGCACUAAGUAAGCAUAAUUGGCAUNUGCCCAAANNACGUCAGGUCGAGCGUGUAGCAUANUGGAAAGGGAAGAGAUGGGCUACAUUCCCUACCUNCAGGGNAACACGAAGGACACUGAAAGUGUUGCACUGAAGGAGGAUUUAG
rnacentral:rRNA from 1 species